CUGCAGCCAAGCAGGCUGACUAGCUUCCUUUUCCAUCAGAGCCUGGUAUGCAAACGCCACAAACGGCAGCUUCUCUUAGAUGUAUACAACCUGUUGCAUGGAUGAGCUACCAUAAGACACUUGGACCAGUU